AACUCGCCUGCAUGAAGUCGGAAUUGCUAGUAAUCGCGGAUCAGCAUGCCGCGGUGAAUACGUUCUCGGGCCUUGUACACACCGCCCGUCACACCGUGGGAGUCGGUAACACCCGAAGUCUGUAGCCUGACGCAAGAGGGCNCAGCCGAAGGUGGGAUUGAUGACUGGGGUGAAGUCGUAACAAGGUACC
rnacentral:rRNA from 1 species